rnacentral:tRNA from 2 species
GUUCUUGUAGUUGAAUAACAACUGUGGUUUUUCAAGCCAUCGGCCCAGGUUAAAAUCCUGGCGGGAAUU